rnacentral:lncRNA from 1 species
AUUGUCUCCGUUUUAUGGUUUAGGAAACUGAAGCUCAGAAUACAGGGCUGAUGCUAGGCCAUUUGGGGACCUUUGGGUGAGUUAGAGAAAGGGACCCUUCAAGACACUUUACAAACUAUUUGCUAAAAACUUAUUUCAAUGGAUAAACAAAUCUAUGGUGAUUACCAUUUGAGCAACACCCCUGAGUUGGCCCACCACCUGCGCAAUAGUACCUGCUGGUCUUGCUGGCGAGGUUAAGUAAUUUUUCAGACAUCCAAGGCCGGCAAGUGAAGGGGGUUGGGCUUAGAACCCGAGUCCUUGCUCUUCAGUCCACUGUGUUCUGAUGCCUCUCUGGUUCCCUCUCUUUAUGCACAGACGACAAUCUUAAUCAGACAGGAAGGAUGAGGCCGUGUAGAAAAGAACUGACUGAUGGCAAGGAGCCCUCCCGAAGCCUUUGCUUCAGCCUCUCCAUGUUCUGAGAGAGGAGGAGCCAGGUCUUCAGCACUUUCAGCCUCAGUGUCCUGUCUGCAUUCUAUGGCUUGAGCCUAAACU